CCUACGGGAGGCAGCAGUGGGGAAUAUUGGGCAAUGGGCGCAAGCCUGACCCAGCAAUGCCGCGUGAAGGAAGAAGGCUUUCGGGUUGUAAACUUCUUUGACAGGGGAAGAGCAGAAGACGGUACCCGGAAAACAAGCCACGGCUAACUACGUGCCAGCAGCCGCGGUAAUACGUAGGUGGCAAGCGGUGUCCGGAUUUACUGGGUGUAACGGGCGGGUAGCCGGGAAGGGAAGUCAGAUGGGAAAUCCGGCGGCUCAACCUCCGAAUGGCCUUGGAAACUGUUUUUCUUGAGUACUGGAGAGGCAGCCGGCAUUCCUUGUGUAGCGGUGCAAUGCGUAGAUAUCAG
rnacentral:rRNA from 1 species